rnacentral:rRNA from 1 species
UACGUAGGGGGCAAGCGUUGUCCGGAUUUAUUGGGCGUAAAGAGCUCGUAGGCGGCUUGUCGCGUCGGAUGUGAAAGCCCGGGGCUUAACUCCGGGUCUGCAUUCGAUACGGGCAGGCUAGAGUUCGGUAGGGGGGAUCGGAAUUCCUGGUGUAGCGGUGAAAUGCGCAGAUAUCAGGAGGAACACCGGUGGCGAAGGCGGAUCUCUGGGCCGAUACUGACGCUGAGGAGCGAAAGCGUGGGGAGCGAACAGG